CAAGUAGGCAAGGCAAUCGCCCGUCGCCGUAAUGGCGAAUAGGGAGGAAAGUCCGAACUUCCCCGAGCACAUAAUUUAUGUGCUCGAUAAAAAAGUAGCGGGUAACACCCGUCAGCCGCAAGGCUAGAGGUGCGAACAGUGACGCCGAGAUCCGAAAGGGUUGAGGCGUCCCGCCAGAACAUGUUCUGGCGGGACGAACUUUGAGAGAAAUCUCGAAGGUGAAACGGUUAAAUCCUUACUGGAAGCAAGAACAAAGCAAAAGUUCUGGUUUUAUGUGGAGCUUUUGUUAAAAGUAGUUCGCUUGACCCCGAGAGUAAUCGAGGGGCUAGAUAGAUGAUUGCUAAACCCCGUUAGAAAAAUUUUCUAAUGGGGUGAGACAGAAUUCGGCUUAUUUCCUGCUUGAGCU
rnacentral:RNase_P_RNA from 4 species